GUGUAGGUAACUGUGGAUCCUGUAAAAUAAAACACCAGAAGAUCCAGAAUUCACAGAAUUUUGGGAAAUACUUUCCUUUUCCUAUAACCAAAAAGAUUUGAGAUAAUGAUGGAUCUGUGCAAAAACAUAUUUCAAAUGAAGAUGCCAGUUAUGCAAAGGAAGAAAACCUGAUUGAAAAAAUUGCACACAAAAAAGAUCUCAGUGAUUUCUAGAGUCCAAAAUUGUAGGUGGAGAAGAAAGCAGUGAUAAACUAGUAAAACUGAUUACGAAGAAAGAAAAAACUCAGAAAGACUACAGGCACUUGAAAGUCAGGGGAUUUUCUUGUCAAAUUAAAAAAUAAGACAUGAAAGACUUUUUCACUCCCCUUAACUUGGAUUCAAUCUGGCUCCCUUCCAAAGUGAAAGGUGUUGGAUUUUCCUCUGAAAAAGACAUGAAAAAAGCUUUGAACAAGGAUUGAAGUUUCUACGUUGGUCAAGAAAAAGUCCCAAAGAACCCUGGGAACGAGAAGAAAACGAUGUGAAGAAGGUAGAAACUGUUGCCGAAUCUGACAGUGCUCAUACCGCCCUCGAACUCGUACCGUACCAUAUACCAUGAACUCAUACCGUAAGCAAGUGAACUCACCAAUAAAAAAAUGAUGAGGAAAGUUGUUAAAAACAGACGCAGUAGGUGGAGAUAAGAACUUUAUUAAUAACCUAUAAUCCUACAAUUCCUCAUAUAAUCCUAUGACCUAUUACAUAUGAUUCCUUAAACACCAUUAGCAAUUGUUAACCCUUUUCAAUGUAACACAUAAUUAGCAAUAUAAACACGAUCUAAAUAUUUAUAUGUAACAAACCUUUUUUGUGUGUUAUCUGAUAACAAAAAAGAAAUUUGAACAGUGUUUAAAUUUUUGUACUUCUUUCUUUAACAUAUGAAAUUAUAAUCAUCUCA
rnacentral:lncRNA from 1 species